AUCUGGCCUCAAAUCAGGUAGGGCUACCCGCUGAACUUAAG
rnacentral:rRNA from 1 species